AGACGCACUGGAUUUAGGUUCCAGCGCCGCAAGGUGUGGAGGUUCGAGUCCUCUCAUCCGCACCA
rnacentral:tRNA from 1 species